GUCCCUACGGGACGCAGCAGUGAGGAAUAUUGGUCAAUGGGCGGAAGCCUGAACCAGCCAAGUCGCGUGAGGGAAGAAGGCCCUGCGGGUCGCAGACCUCUUUGGACGGGGAGCAAGGCCGCCGACGUGUCGGCGGAAGGAGAGUACCCGUAGAACAAGCAUCGGCUAACCCCGUGCCAGCAGCCGCGGUAAUACGGAGGAUGCGAGCGUUAUCCGGAUUUAUUGGGUUUAAAGGGUGCGUAGGCGGACUGGAAAGUCAGCGGUAAAAUCGAGAGGCUCAACCUCUUUCCGCCGUUGAAACUGUU
rnacentral:rRNA from 1 species